AUCGCUACACAUCACAUGCUCGCAAACUGUAAUUUGCUUGUUGAUCGUCUGCUAUGUCUAGCAUUACUAACUUACUAAAAAUGCUCAGCUCACUCCUGCCGUAACACUGUAAAAUUGUGUUGAUAAUGUUUGCGCUUGUUAAAGCAGUUAAGCUAAUACAGGCAUCGACGACUCAUCUGCCUACACGCCAUUGGGUCAAGACAGCUAUUCCC